GUGGAGCCACAGAAAUGGAAUACGAGGGUGAAGGAGAGGGGGAAGGGAAGCGAAGCCAAAUCGAGCGGCGACUGGAAUCGUUCUCACGGGAACAAAAGGAUGGAGGGACAAGGAGAGGCGAAAAGUAACAGAAGGGAGCCCAUCAAGAGGCGGCACGGCUCCACUGACUUCUUCGUGCUGCUGGAUUGCCUCUUCCUCCUCAUCUUCUUCUGCUUCCUCUGCUACUUCCUCCUCCAGAUCUGGCCGGGAUCAAAGCCCUAACCCCAACGAAAGGACCUGUAUUUUGUUGAUCCUGAAACCAAUCUAUUCUAUUCUAUUCAUUCUAACGUCGGUAAUCUCAUUUUAUCCCCGAUGUUUUUGUUUCAAGUAUUAAAUUCGUACCACGGCAAUCAUCUUACGAUCUGUUCCAGAAAAAAAUUGCUUUUAAUUUCCCUUUUAUUGUUUGUUGGUUUGAAGCCGUUGUUGCUUUGAAAUCUGGCUGCCAGUUUAUACUAUAUGAUUUUUAUUGCAGAAGAUUGCUUGGAUGCAUUGUUCAUAUUACUGCUAAUUUCUGUGGGACUGUGGCUGUUUGGUUCACCAACUGUUUAUGUGAAAUAAUUCUUCAUCCAUCUUUGCCAUGAUAUGAAAAUGAGUGAAAGGAAUUAUAUGAAGAUUUAUGUUUUUCGUAUUUUCUCAUCUUCAUGUUAAACUUGACUUAAUCCCUCAUGCAAAUCUUCUUGAAUCAAGAGGAAGGUUACGUGACUUUUGAUCUAGUGUGAGGGAGAUAAAAGCAUCCGUAUCAUAUGACAUCAUUGGGAACUUAAGCAUGUAGUUCUUGAUUCGGUAUAAUCUGCUGUGUCAUUUUUGAAACUUAGGCAUCACAAUUGGAUCUGAUUGUAAGAUCUUAUCUUGACUAUUGUUUUCUACAAGGAAAAGAAAGGACAAUGCUAGGGUACAUAGAGUUGAAAUUUCAUCCUGUCAUUCCUGAUGAAUGUGGUAUUAAGAUCAAGUUAUUUCUCCUUCAAAAGUGAGGACCAAAGGAUGAGGGCACUUUACUGCAAUUGAUGUUACCAGGAGCUUUUAACAACUGCACCUAAUAUAAUGAUUUUAGAUUCGAAUGAUUGGAUUAUUUUCUAGAUGAGUGGUUCGCAUCAGAUGAUUCACCAUCUGAUUCACAGGAGGAAAAAAGAAUUGUUACUGCCCUCUUUCUCUAUCAUGAUCGAUAUGUUUCAGCAAUAUGGUUUUAUUAGGAAGAUAAGUUUGAAUGUGAAUAUUUGAGCUUUUCACCAAGUGAAAAGUUGGAGCUAUAAUUUUGAGACAAUUGUAUAGAACACUAGUAAGUGAACAUGCUGCUGGUCGCAUUUUGGUGUUUUAUAAAGAGUUUUAAGGCUUCGAAUAGAUGGGACUUAGACAUAUCAAAUAUUAUAAGCUGUAGUUAUUGAUUUGGUUCUGGUUGCAAGAUGGUUACUAUUACAACCACACAUCUAAUUCUUGCCUGUAGCAUCAAAUUCAUCCAAGACAUGAAUAUGGAGGUUUUGUUUCUUAAGAGUCAAGUUGCAAAUAACUGAUGAUGUUGCUUCAGUUUUCAACUUGUGAGACUUUCAUUCAAGUUCAUGUCUUUUCCAGCAUGUUCUGAUAGCUUUUGUUGGCAUCAUCAACAUACCUUGGCCAAUCCAGCUGAAUGUACUGGUAUUUAUACCAUCAAUAUAAAUAAUUGUCAUGGUAUAAAUUGUCAUGGAUGUAUUGGUAAUAAAUUUGAGGUAAAAAAUUUGAAUACCUUGGCCACUGAGGGUGGGUGCUCCUACUUCAAGAGGAGCACAUGCACCAACAGGCCCCAACUACACCCUCUCAGUUGGGCAAGGCUGUGAGUCUUGGACAUGCCCACAUACCCAUGCCUAGGUUUUCCCCCUCUCAGGCAUUCAUGUCUUCUCCUGCUUGGUAAAUCUUGAGGCCCUCCUAAAUAGCAGUCAAAUCCUGCUUAAUGGCAAGUUUGCAGCAGUUGAACUGAGAGUCCUGGGGUCAUGAAUUAGACCUUUGGAAUGGGAAGAGUAGUCCAAGGAGAAACUCAGAUGAUUGUUCUCUUUUGAGUGAUAAGCUUCACUGUAUGGAAAAAGUUCCCUCAGAACAUGAACUUUCUCUUCUGAAGUUAAGAAAGGGACCUGAGUCGUUGACCAAAUCAACCAAAGCUAAGGAGCAGAGUCUUCGGUGCGGGGAAGAUGCACUGCAGUAGGUACACUGGGCCACCAUCAUGUUCUAAGUUUCAACACGUCUGGCAGUAAGUUGAAUGCUAGAGAACUUUACAGCUGCUAAAGAUGAAAUGGAGUGCUUGAAUCCAUUUGUAGGACUGCUUACGCAGAGGAAUAUGAAUGAAGUUGCAUCAAAGCAUAUGCUGUAAAAGCAGCAUGAUCUGAUCAUGUAACUUAUGACCAGAGAAUUAAGAUCUUAAUACCAAAUUCUAGUGCUUUGUUUUCUGGCUCAACAGAGAAAUGCAAUAAAAGAAACGAUGACAAAGAAUAAUACUACUCUGUCUGUCCAUAAAUUUUUGGCUCAUCCAUCUGCAAUUGCUAAAAAAGAAUUAACUUUUUUCUUUGUUUUGUUGGUUGUUAAGUGUAGAGGAUCAAGAAUUCAGAUGCUGGAGUAACAAUCUGCAGUCUGCAGGUCUUGUCAUUUAAAUCAUGGAUUGCCGGAACUGCGCUACUCCACAUUCGUCUUCAAAAAUAAGACAUUAUAUGACUCGAAAGUUCAUUAGGUUUAGGGUUUACCGUCUCCGUCGUCGCUCGACCAUCCGCAGAGACCGAGGCGCCGGCGGUCGAAGCACCGGCGGUGAAGAGUUGAAGGCAGCUGUUCCUGCCGUCAUCGCAGCAGAGGAAGUCUUAAUCUGGGCCGUCCCGCUCGUCGGCGAAGGAAACCAUGACCAUGCUCAAGAACGCUCUGCUCUGGAGGAAGGAGUUCGGCGUCGGGAGCCUACUUCUCGGAGUCCCCGAGCUCAGCGACGUCGUCGCUCUUGGCCACCGCCGCCUCCUGCGCGGCGACCUUCUCAUCUCCGGCCUCCGCCGCGGACUCGGCGGCCAGCGGCUCUCCCAAAGCUGGCUUCUUUGUUGUUUUCCGCGCCUAAGGGACGGGAUCGGUCGGCGGAAGCCGUUCGUCGAUUCUUUCUCCGUCGCCGCCGGCUCCGUUUCGGCGGGGUCCCCUUCUGGUGUGUCGGGUUUGGUGUCCAAGGCCAUGGUCUUGGGUUGGGUGCAGGUGAGAGAGAGAGAGGCCCAGCCCAUCCUCUCGUGUUCCCACGUUAAGCACGAGAGUCGCACGUGUCCUUCCCCGACCCCUAAUUUCUUCAAACGGUUCUCUCGACCUCCACUCCCCGCCGGAGUCGCCGCCGCUCCUCCGCCGGUGUGCCACCACGCUGGAGGACAUAGCGAACCCGAUGAGCGCCGGAGCUCCGCUGGGUUCCGCCUUCCCGCGUCGGCAUCAAACCUAAGAGAAAGCCCGCACUGGUCUUGGUCCUCUCUACCUUUCUCACUUUCUAAUUUCUUCUCCCAUGAUAUUCUUCUCUUUUUCUAGUUCGUGUUCUUUGAUUUGGUAUAGACGAUAUAUAUGAAGACACUCGGGAGUUCCCACAACAAGGUAAGAUUUUUCAUGUGCCUUAGGUUUUUGAUCUUUUUCUCAUUAAAACAGAUGCAAGAGAUGCCAAAGAAGUAGAAUUUGGGAGCUAAUUGUCAAAAUCCCGUAUUUAUGGAACUUAGGUACUUGUUUGAUUUUAUUAUUUUUAUCAGUGAAAUGAUUAGGAAAUUCCGUGAUAAAGGUAAAUAGAAAACAGGUCUUGAAUUCCAUGUUCUUAUGAGAGCGUCGCUUGGUUUCCUUUGUGCUCAUUACAUUCAUCUUGGAUAAAUUGAACUUCUUGCGAAGCUAUUUUGACUGCCAUAUCAAGUCUAGCAUCUUAUUUAAUUUUUUCAUCAUAAACUUGAUUUGUGAUCUACUUGUUAGUAUAACGAAUUGAUAUAUAUGCUUUUAAUUUUCCUUAUGUUCUGUCCUGAUGACCAUCAAGUGAUUAUUUGUUCAACCCGUUCCUAUAGCUUGAGCUAACAAGCUUCAUUUAACAUUAAAAAAAUCCAUGUUUGUUGACACAAGAAUCCCUGUUAUCAUGAUUCAAGUCAUGGUAUCAUAUCAAGAUCUUCUUCAGGGGCAAUAGCACAGGAACCGGAUGUCUAGAUGAUGGUGACCUUCACCAACUUGUCCACUUUCUUUUUAUCACUUGGCUGUCUAAUCCAUCAAGAGAAUUGACUUUACAUGGGUUAAUCGAAUUAGCCUACUUGAUUUAGCUCAAUGCUGUCUGAUUCAAACUUAAGUAUAAACCCAAUUAUCCUUUAGUACAAGCCGCCAUAUCCCAUUUAAUAAAAUGGGUACGGUAGCGUCUAAAUGUGACCCCUUAUAGUAUUUAGUGGACAUUUUCCCAGGGUUUGUUUGAAUACCUUGGUAAGUUAUGUGUGGCCACCCUUGUGCAAGCCUUGAGACCAACUCCUAACUCCUAAUUACAUUGAACCAAGUCAGAUGAACUUGGUAACUGAUACCAGUACAGCUAUAGUGUUAGUUCCAAAACUGAUCACAAGGGCAACCUAUUGAAUCAGCAGGAUAUGCUUCCUGGAGAAAUUAGUUUCCAUCUAUGCAAACAUGUAUCUUGACUUAGACCAAACAGUAAGACUUAUUGUCCAUUUAGAUUACUGUAGUAGGUAUGUCACUUGUACUUUUUGUUUCAUGCUGUACACAACAUGUCUAGACGGCAGAUACACAAUUGAGAGUUGCUCCUUGAAACAUGAUCAGGUAUCCAUCAAAUCUCAGAAAAGUUGAUGAAUUUUAAGCUUGAAAUUGUCUUCUAUGAUGCAUUGUCUGUUCAAUUCAGCCCUUAAAAAUUAGUAGUAAAUUAGUUGCCUUGGAUUGAAUUCUGCUAAGUGGAAUUGUUCUGAGCUUUUUUUCACCAGUGUAAUUUUGCUGUCCUGACAAAAGGUUUUCUAAGGAGUACAGUUUUCUUCCCGCUGGAGCAGAAAUCCUUGUUGCAGCUUCUGUCGUUGUAUUUAUUAUAUGGCUUUACGCUUUGUUACAUUGAUCUUUCCAAAUGCCACUUGAUUCUCCUUUGAUCUAGAAAAUAUCAAUCACUUGAGAAAAAAAGAGGGUUAUAUUGGCAGCUUCCAACUUGUUGUGGAUGUGGCAAGAAAAUAUGAUGUGUUGCCAUUUGCAUAUAUUGGAAUGGUUUUAUUA